AGUAAACAUAGAAAUCGUCUAUACACUAUGAAACUAAAAAACAAGUAACUGCAUAACCCUAAUUGCACCCCCUUUUCUCCAUGUGCCGUCGUGCACCACCUUCGUCCCAGGCCUCUAUUCACCAGUCAUACUCAAUCGAUUCAUCUUCUCUAUUAAUUUCUUCUUAAUUUCAUUAUUUUGUGUUUACAAGUUCUGAUUGAGUUCACUGUUUGCGAAAAAACUCAGGUAACUGCUUUUUGUUCUUCUUCAGUUAUGCAUUUUAUAAACUCUAUAUUCGUAAACUGUAUUGAAACAUCAAUUUAGUUGAAUCUAUAUCUGGAUUAGCAAAAACUAUUUACUCGAAAAAUGAACCCAAGGCUGAAGAGUGCGUUGUGUCGGCGUGGCAAAAGUUGAAUCAGCUUCCAUUUAUUUUCAAUUAUUGGUAAUCCAUGGGCAUUUUUAUAUAUUUUGUUAUUCUUUUAUGCAUCUUUCUUCCUCUAGUUCCUUCUCUUACUCUUAUUUGUGUUUGAUUUUUUAAGUUAGGGGGUUCUCGAUGGAAAAUCGAAACCCACGUACAUUUUAUAAAUCAAGUUAAGCAUUUUGGAAAUUAAUUUUAUUAUUAGUUUAUAUUUUUUUUUUGCAAUUUUUCUUUGUAGGAAAAAAAAGCCAUUAGUUCACCUCAAACUAAUUACCUCGAGUGUUAUGUAGGCAAAAUUAAGGUUAUCAAAAGUUAUACAGCUUAAAUAUAUGAUUCUAUUGAAUGAAGAUUUUUUUUUUUGGAUUUAAACAUCAUUGUCAAAAUCUCCGAGUUCACAUUAUCUAUAACAUGUGGAAAACAGUGCAGUAACUUAUAUUGGUUAUGUUCAAGUGACCAUAGCUAGAGAUGAGGUUAUUGUUACUGCUAUCCCUGCUCACACAACCCAUGCUUUAGUGAACAUAGAUCCAAUAUAGAGUGCGUUCUUUAUAAGAUGCCAAUAUAGUAUCAUAAACUAUAAUGCCUCAAGUACGAACUUUAAUGUUUGGAAAUAUCUUUAAGUUGUUACUUUGUACAAGUUUCCACAUCACAUUCCUCUUUAUAAAAUCCAAGAUGUUGCUAACUCUUAAUAUUACUAUGAUUUUGUUGUCACACAGAAUGUGAAAGUUUUAACUUUUAGAUGUUUAUAUAAUGUACAGACCUUAGUUGCAAACUCAUAGAAUAAAAAAGAUUGUCUUGACAUAUUACUUAGAUGUUCUAGAUGUUCUAUGUUUUGUUAAUCAAAAGUGUGCCUUGACAUAUAGAAAUAGAUAGAUACAUGUCUCAUGUACCUUAUUUUGGCCUUACUAUGUUAGUUGUAGAAUAGUAGAAGUGUUUGGUAUUUUCAUUUAUUGUAGAGAUUUAGUAUGUAUGGGGAUAUUUUGGCAUGACAUAUGAAUUAUGUUUUUGUUGUUUGUAGAGUAUAGACGGUAUGCGAAUUUGAUGUAGAACAAAGUGCAUAUAUAAGUCUUUACUGAGAAAUAGAAAACAUUCUGGGUAAGAAAAUAGGAAAGGAAAAGAUUCUUCUUGAUAAUUCAAGUUUUGGGUGUGAUAUUCAAUGAAAGGACCUUCUUAAGCCUUUAGUUCUUAUAGUUGCAAUCGUAAUCUUUCAAAUUAUGUGAUCUUUGUUAUAUGCUUCAGCGGGUCUUGAAUUAGUUAGUAACAGAAAUAAGAGGUGGUGUCUGUUAAUGUUAGGAUUAAACGGUCAGAGUGAAGAAAUAGUGUGAACUAUGGGAUUCUAAUUAUUGAGAGUGGAAUUUGGAAGGGAAAGUUAGGUCUUCUUGAACAAAUACCUAUUUUCCACUAUCCACACUCGACAACACGUUCAUAGAUCUGUUUUCAGUUAGUUAAGUGUAAUACAGUUUUCUGUUAGAACCCACUUCAACCAUCAUGUUUCUUACUGCUUUUCACUUUUUGUUUUCUCAUUGUUAUGAAGCUUUGAUAUAAUACUUGCAUUUGAUUCACAUUGUUGUUUAAUCCACAUAAAGUUUGGUUUUUUUUGUUAAUUUUUUACAUAUAUUUUAAUUAAUUGCAUGUUUAACAUUCAAAGAAAUGGUAAAACACGUGGUGUUGAAGACAACAUAAGUUUAUCUAACACUAAAAGGGUAAGAUUUAUAUGCUUGAAGCACAUGUUGGAUGGUCACCUCGACGCAAGCUGUAAGUUCUUUAAAUUAGCUUUGUUGGAUCUAUAAGGUGUAUAUAACAUGUCAAACUAGCUUUGUAGUCAACUCUGCUUUUCAAGUGUUGAGUUUUAUCCUUUUAAAUUCAGAAUAUGCAUUCAGUUUAUCAAAGAAUCAUAAUUUCCUUAAUCCAAAUGGUUUUAUCGAGGGAUGAAUAAAUCAUAUAUGGACUAAUGUGCGCAACUGAUUGAAAAUGAAUGGAACUUGAACAGUUAUUUAAUUUUUGGGGCACCCCUGAAGGUGAUAUAGCUCACCAUGUAGAGUGCAUGGAGCAAUUACUUGAGAAAGUUAGGCAUCAUAGAGUAAGAGAGUGCAAGCAUAUUGUCAUUUUAGAUAGUUCAGGAUUCAGCAACCAACUAUAUUAGAACUUUGUGGUUUUUCCGACAAAAGGUUUCGGGGAGGAUAUGUGUAAAUAUGUGAUGUAUUAUUUAGUUUCUCAUCUCAAUUUGUAUCUAUUAUUUUUAGAGUAAAGAUCCAUUUUAGUCUCUCACAAACAUUACACAAGCCAAAUUACUCCCUCACAAAAAAUAGACCUGACUUAAUCCCUUACAAAAUUUAACAGGAUCAUAUUAGUCGUUAUGCUAAUAUUUUUCUUAAACCGGUUUUUUCCUACUUUUAAACCGGUUUUUUUAUUCUUUUAAACCAUGACUGGACUGCCACGUUGAAUUUUAUUUUUUAUUUUUCAUUUUUUAAAUAUUAAAUUGAUUUUUUUUUUAAUAUCAUAAAAGUCAAAAUUGUUUCUUAUAAGGAAUUCAUGACAUCUCUGUGUCUUUACCACUAAAUCAAUGUACAUUCAUGACAAUUAAUUCCCAUGAUUUCUACUAAUAUUAAAAAUUAUGUACAUAAUUUUUACCUAAGGCAAAUCAAUUUCUAUUGUUAAUAAAAUGAUUAUCAUUUACAACUAGACAAAUCAAUUUAUAUGACUAGUAAAGUGACUAUCAAUAACAACUAGACAAAUUAAUUUCUAUUGUUAGUAAAGUAACUAUCAUUUACAAAUAGACAAAUCAAUUUCUAUUAUAGUAAAUUGACUGUGAUUUAAUCUAAAGGGACUUGGGUUCAAGACCCUAAUGUUACAAAUUUUGUAUUUUGUAUUUUAAAUUCAGAAUUGUUUAAGAGUACUAGAAAUCAUGGGAAUUACUUACCAUGAAUGUACAUUGGUCUAGUGGUAAAGACGUAAGAUGUAUUUUAAAGGGCCUGAGUUCAACUCUUCAUGAUAUGAGUUUUUGAGAUUCUCAAAACAGUUUUAGUUGAUGUUCAAUUUACGUGGUAUGAGAUUCUUCAUCAAACUAGUGCAAUUCUUAAUUAGUUUUCCGUUAAUUAGAGAAGAUGAGGGCACUUUUUAAAUUCGGUGAACAUAUUAAUAUGUGUUAG